UGGGGUAUAGCCAAGUGGUAAGGCAGCGGGUUUUGAUCCCGCCAUUCGGUGGUUCAAGUCCAUCUACCCCAGCCA
rnacentral:tRNA from 2 species